UGAGUUCCAGGACAACCAAAGCAACACAGU
rnacentral:piRNA from 1 species